rnacentral:rRNA from 1 species
GACGAACGCUGGCGGCGUGCUUAACACAUGCAAGUCGAACGAGAGCGUAGAGAAAGCUUGCUUUUUCUACAAUCUAGUGGCAAACGGGUGAGUAACGCGUAAACAACCUGCCCUACGGAUGGGGACAACAGCUGGAAACGGCUGCUAAUACCGAAUACGUUCCGAAAGUCGCAUGACUAUCGGAAGAAAGGAUGGCCUCUAUUUAUAAGCUAUCGCCGGAGGAGGGGUUUGCGUCUGAUUAGCUAGUUGGAGGGGUAACGGCCCACCAAGGCGACGAUCAGUAGCCGGUCUGAGAGGAUGAACGGCCACAUUGGAAUUGGGACACGGUCCAGACUCCUACGGGAGGCAGCAGUGGGGAAUCUUCCGCAAUGGGCGAAAGCCUGACGGAGCAACGCCGCGUGAGUGAAGACGGCCUUCGGGUUGUAAAGCUCUGUUAUACGGGACGAAUAAUCUUGUGGUUAAUACCCAUGAGAAGUGACGGUACCGUAAGAGAAAGCCACGGCUAACUACGUG